AGGACGAACGCUGGCGGCGUGCUUAACACAUGCAAGUCGAGCGAUGAAGUCCCUUCGGGGACGGAUUAGCGGCGGACGGGUGAGUAACACGUGGGUAACCUGCCUCAUAGAGGGGAAUAGCCUUCCGAAAGGAAGAUUAAUACCGCAUAAGAUUGUAGUUUCGCAUGAAACAGCAAUUAAAGGAGUAAUCCGCUAUGAGAUGGACCCGCGUCGCAUUAGCUAGUUGGUGAGGUAACGGCUCACCAAGGCGACGAUGCGUAGCCGACCUGAGAGGGUGAUCGGCCACAUUGGGACUGAGACACGGCCCAGACUCCUACGGGAGGCAGCAGUGGGGAAUAUUGCACAAUGGGGGAAACCCUGAUGCAGCAACGCCCGCGUGAGUGAUGACGGUCUUCGGAUUGUAAAGCUCUGUCUUCAGGGACGAUAAUGACGGUACCUGAGGAGGAAGCCACGGCUAACUACGUGCCAGCAGCUGC
rnacentral:rRNA from 1 species